CUGAAAUAGUUUAUAAGAAUAUAAUAUUAGGGGUAUUGAGGUUUUGUUCAGU
rnacentral:tRNA from 1 species